UACAGAGGUCCCAAGCGUUGUUCGGAUUCACUGGGCGUAAAGGGUGCGUAGGCGGUUGGGUAAGUCUGAUGUGAAAGCUCGGAGCUUAACUCCGAAAUGGCAUCGGAUACUAUCCGGCUAGAGGAAUGGAGGGGAGACUGGAAUACUUGGUGUAGCAGUGAAAUGCGUAGAUAUCAAGUGGAACACCAGUGGCGAAGGCGAGUCUCUGGACAUUUCCUGACGCUGAGGCACGAAAGCCAGGGGAGCAAACGGG
rnacentral:rRNA from 1 species